AGUGAACGCUGGCGGUAGGCCUAACACAUGCAAGUCGAACGGCAGCACAGUAAGAGCUUGCUCUUACGGGUGGCGAGUGGCGGACGGGUGAGGAAUACAUCGGAAUCUACUUUUUCGUGGGGGAUAACGUAGGGAAACUUACGCUAAUACCGCAUACGACCUACGGGUGAAAGCAGGGGAUCUUCGGACCUUGCGCGAUUGAAUGAGCCGAUGUCGGAUUAGCUAGUUGGCGGGGUAAAGGCCCACCAAGGCGACGAUCCGUAGCUGGUCUGAGAGGAUGAUCAGCCACACUGGAACUGAGACAAGGUCCAGACUCCUACGGGGGGCAGCAGUGGGGAAUAUUGGACAAUGGGCGCAGGCCUGAUCCAGCCAUACCGCGUGGGUGAAGAAGGCCUUCGGGUUGUAAAGCCCUUUUGUUGGGAAAGAAAAGCAGCAGGUUAAUACCCCGCUGUUCUGACGGUACCCAAAGAAUAAGCACCGGCUAACUUCGUG
rnacentral:rRNA from 1 species